rnacentral:lncRNA from 1 species
GUUUGUUAGAAUUUUGUCAUGAGUGUCCGAAAAUAUAUUUUGAUCCAUUUUGUCACGAGCAUCAUGAGUUUAACCUUUUAAAAUAAAUCUUGUAGACAAAAAGCAUUUUUUAUGGUAUGAGUUCAUUGAAAAAAAUUAAAUUUUAGCCCUCUCUAACAAAUCUUUCUGGCUCCGUCCUUGGUGAGAUGUAUCAUAUUAACUUUUUAACUGUGCAAUCUCAUAUUAAAUCCUAGUUUGAACUCCAUUUUUUUUUUCCAAAAAUGUAUUAUUUCAAAAUUCGUUUUCAACCACAUAUUUUUCCAUAAACUAAUAUUGUUACACGUAAAUUCAAAACCUUUCUUUAUUUUUAAUCACAUAUUUUUCAAAAAAAUCAUUAUUCUAAAACACAUUUUUCCUCGAAAUCUCAUUUUAAUAAAGUUUGAAUAAGGGCAAAAUUUUUAUCAUUUCAUGUUUUACAAGUUAAAGAAAAUCACGUUUAAGUGAAUUUCAUGGUGUCGUCUUAGCCCAAAACACAUUACACGUGAGGUAUCAUGUGUGAUGUAUCACUUCUUUCUUUGUGUUUGUUCUUUGGAUAUAAUUAUUGAUUGUAUCAUCGUGUCAUGUUUCUUGCUCAUACAUGUGUUUCCCUUCUCUAUUUUGCUGGACCAUGUCAAUUGGAGUGUAAUAUACUUCCAAUCUGGGAGUUGAAAUUUUAAUUGCUCAUAAAGUUGUUCAGUACCUUGUACUUAUUAUCUG